AUUGAACGCUGGCGGCAGGCCUAACACAUGCAAGUCGAACGAGUGGCGGACGGGUGAGUAAUGUCUGGGAAACUGCCUGAUGGAGGGGGAUAACUACUGGAAACGGUAGCUAAUACCGCAUACCAUCAGAUGUACCCAGAUGGGAUUAGCUUGUUGGUGGGGUAACGGCUCACCAAGGCGACGAGCCCUAGCUGGUCUGAGGGGAUGACAGGCCACACUGGAAGUGAGACACGGUCCAUACUCCUACGUGAGGGAGGAGGGGGGAAGAUGGCACAAUGGGCGCAAGCCUGAUGCAGCCAUGCCGCGUGUAUGAAGAAGGCCUGCGGGUUGUAAAGUACUUUCAGCGGGGAGGCGUUACCCGCAGAAGAAGCACCGGCUAACUCGGUGCCAGCAGCCGCGGUAAAC
rnacentral:rRNA from 1 species